UCUAAAGACAAUACCUUAGGCUUGGUGCCACUGUAUUUCCACCUAAGAGAUGUAUUUCAGUAGAAUUUUCCAUUUCUCAGUUGUUAGGGUUAUUGUGAUAUCCCAAGUGCUAAUUAAGGUAAAUGGGUGCCAUAUACAGAUUCAGAAUAACGAGUGCAUGAUAAAAUUUAUGCUGCAGAAUCAAAGCAUAAUAAAUCUCUU
rnacentral:lncRNA from 1 species